rnacentral:sRNA from 2 species
UGAUAUACCUUUCCGCCGCCGAAGGAUGGUGGCGGGCCGGGGAACCAAGAAUUCCUCUGGGGUGAAUCCUCUUCUUUAAUACGAGAGCUGCCGACGACACGUCGGAGUGGAGUGAAGAGGUAGGGAGCUUUCUGUUUCCGAACCCGACAGCUAACCCGGUAGGAAACAGGAAGAUUUGGA